GAUGAACGCUGGCGGCGUGCCUAAUACAUGCAAGUCGAGCGAACGGACGAGAAGCUUGCUUCUCUGAUGUUAGCGGCGGACGGGUGAGUAACGCGUGGAUAACCUACCUAUAAGACUGGUAUAACUUCGGGAAACCGUAGCUAAUACCGGAUAAUAUUUUGAACCGCAUGGUUCAAAAGUGAAAGACGGUCUUGCUGUCACUUAUAGCUGGAUCCCGGCUGCAUUAGCUAGUUGGUAGGGUAACGGCUUACCAAGGCAACGAUGCAUUGCCGACCUGAGAGGGGGAUAGGCCACACUGGAACUGAGACACGGUCCAGACGCCUACGGGAGGCAGCAGUAGGGAACCUUCCGCAGUGGGCGAAAGCCUGACGGAGCAAGGCCGCGUGAGUGAUGAAGGUGUUCGGAUCGUAAAACUCUGUUAUUAGGGAAGAACAGAUUUGUAAGGAACUGUGCACAUCGUGACGGUACCUAAUCAGAAAGCCACGGCUAACUACGUG
rnacentral:rRNA from 1 species